rnacentral:rRNA from 1 species
CACGUAGUUAGCCGUGACUUUCUAAGUAAUUACCGUCAAAUAAAGGCCAGUUACUACCUCUAUCUCUCUUCACUACCAACAGAGCUUUACGAGCCGAAACCCUUCUUCACUCACGCGGCGUUGCUCCAUCAGACUUUCGUCCAUUGUGGAAGAUUCCCUACUGCUGCCUCCCGUAGGAGUUUGGGCCGUGUCUCAGUCCCAAUGUGGCCGAUCAGUCUCUCAACUCGGCUAUGCAUCAUUGCCUUGGUAAGCCGUUACCUUACCAACUAGCUAAUGCACCGCAGGUCCAUCCAAGAGUGAUAGCAGAACCAUCUUUACAAACUCUAGACAUGCGUCUAGUGUUGUUAUCCGGUAUUAGCAUCUGUUCCAGGUGUUAUCCCAGUCUCUUGGACAGGUUACCCACGUUGUUACUCACCCGUCCGCCGCUCGCUUGUAUCUAGUUUUCAUUUUAGUGCUAAGCCAACUUAAAAUCAUUACUAGGACAAGUCGUCCGCUUCCGACUUGGCC